UACGUAGGCAGCGAGCGUUGUUCGGAAUUACUGGGCGUAAAGAGUGUGUAGGCGGUGCUCUAAGUUCGGUGUGAAAUCUCCCGGCUUAACUGGGAGGGUGCAUUAGAAACUGGAAUGCUAGAGGAUGGGAGAGGUAAGCGGAAUUCCUGGUGUAGCGGUGAAAUGCGUAGAUACCAGGAGGAACACCUGUGGUGUAGACAGCUUACUGGACCAUUUCUGACGCUGAGACACGAAAGCGUGGGUAGCAAACAGG
rnacentral:rRNA from 1 species